CACAGCAGGAGGACUCGGCUCUCUUUGUACGGGACUGCCAGGGCUGCAAAGGUAUGGGACGGGUGUGACCGUAGGGAGAGGGUACUCGCUGAGCAAUCUCUCCUCAUCGAGGAACUUUCCGGCGCGCCCGUUAAAGGCUGGGAGAUUGACAGGACAUCAUAGAGUGAAAAAUGGGGAAAGGGAUCAGACAUGGAUCUGAUUGGGCAAGGUUGGUAAAGUGUCGAACGUCGCAGCACUCGCUCUGAGAUUUCAGGACACUUGAAGCCCAACCCUGAUGCUGAAUAUUCCCCAGCAGGAAAACCAGCAGGAAAGAGGAAAUUACAGCAGGAAGGUUUCCAGACCAUCUCGACCCAUCUCAACCAACCGAAAAAAUCCCUCGCCGAUCUCCACCAAUAAGCAAAGGGGUUCAAUCAUCUCAGCCAAUCGCCAACGUUUCUCGAAACACCUCAGCUCACAGAUCUGGCCAUCUCUGCGUUGAAGUCUCUGGCAGAUUUUGUGGACAGGAACGUGAGCACUGAGGGGGCGGCUCACCUCACCGGUCACUUUGGCCGCCGCAUCACUCGAGGCGCCGAGCACACGUUCUGAUGAGACCCUCCUCCACCAGCUCUGGGGAGAGCUCUGUGUGCCGCACAACUAGUGAGGUGUAAAGGCGCUCCAGGAAAUGUACACACACUGAGAACACAUGUACACAUUUGCACUUGCACACUGAAAGACUCAUGACGAUCAUGUGACGAGGUUUAACAAGGUUUCAUACAUGAAUUCAACAUGAACUGACAAUAGACAAUUUACAUUUGACAACAUUUUUACUUCAUACGAACACAAUGUGUUUUUUUAUUCAUUCAUUUUACUAACUAUCAUAGCCAUACAGAAUGUUUAAAAAAAAACUAUUAGUAAAUAUUUAAUGAG